UACGUAGGGGGCAAGCGUUGUCCGGAUUUAUUGGGCGUAAAGAGCGUGUAGGCGGCCAGACAGGUCCGUUGUGAAAACUCGAGGCUCAACCUCGAGACGCCGAUGGAAACCGUCUGGCUAGAGUCCGGAAGAGGAGAGUGGAAUUCCUGGUGUAGCGGUGAAAUGCGCAGAUAUCAGGAAGAACACCCGUGGCUAAGGCGGCUCUCUAGUACGGUACUGACGCUGAGACGCGGAAGCGUGGGGAGCGAACAGG
rnacentral:rRNA from 1 species